AGCAGCCGCGGUAAUUCCAGCUCCAAUAGCGUAUAUUAAAGUUGUUGCAGUUAAAAAGCUCGUAGUUGAAUUUCGGGGUCAGUAGGUUGGUCAUGCCACUGGUAUGUACUGGUCUCACUGAUUCCUCCUUCCUGAUGAACUGUAAUGCCAUUAAUUUGGUGUUGCAGGGAAUCUGGACUGUUACUUUGAAAAAAUUAGAGUGUUUAAAGCAGGCUAACGCCUGAAUACAUUAGCAUGGAAUAAUGAAAUAGGACGUUCGAUCCUAUUUUGUUGGUUUCUAGGAUUGACGUAAUGAUUAAUAGGGAUAUUGGGGGCAUUAGUAUUCAAUUGUCAGAGGUGAAAUUCUUGGAUUUAUUGAAGACUAACUACUGCGAAAGCAUUUGCCAAGGAUGUUUUCAUUAAUCAAGAACGAAAGUUAGGGGAUCGAAGACGAUCAGAUACCGUCGUAGU
rnacentral:rRNA from 1 species